GUCUGUCAAUGAUGUUCUUCCUUACUAACCCUAACCUACCUUGUUUGAGAACAUAUGAGAACUUACAAGUAUCUGAGACAAAC